rnacentral:lncRNA from 1 species
GUUUCUUCAACAUAUUAGCCAAUUGUAGUGAAUGGACUUUAUUUGGAGUCUGAUCUGAACAAACAUCUGUUUAAAAAAAAUAAUGAGCCAAUCAGGAAGAUUUGAACACUGACUAGAUAUUUGAUGAUAUUGAAGAAUUAUUGUAAUUUUAGAUGCGAUUUUUUGACAAAUAGCGCUUUAUCUCUUAGAGGUAAAUAUUGAAAUAUGGAUGACAAGAUGUAAAGCCAGGGAUUUUUCUCAAAGUAAUUGCAGAGGAAAGAGACUGAGGAUGUGGAAGAAUGAGGAUGAGUUUUGGGCUGUAUCUCUUGACCUGAAUGCAAUGCAGCCUUAAACCUGGAAGUGGGCACUGGGGCCCAAAAAGGGAGAGCUCCAGGAGAAACCCUCUAGGUUUCUGUUACAGAGCUGGGUAGGAACUCCUAACGCUCAGAGAAAGUACAGAAGUCCUCAGAGUUUUUUCUUCUCUCUGCUGUCUUGGAUUCCAACUCUCAAGCAGUCUCGUAGGGGUGAUGGUGGGGACCACAAUAGGAACCUGCAGGAGCCAACACUCUGUGAGAAGGAAACUUUCUCUCUGAAUGGUGGAACUGUGGCCCCAAGAGAGUGGGGCAAGCCCCCAUUGCCUUUUUCUCUCUCUCUCCAUCCUUCUGCUACUUGGCCCUGUAUGCAAGCACAGUUAUAGAAGGGUGCAGCAGAGAUGGGUAACUAAAGCCUCAGCUUGGUAGCCGAAGAACAAAAACAGGGAGCACCAGGGGACUGGAAAGAACUAUAGAAACUGGGGAGAUGGAUUAUGAACUCCUGAACUCAUCAGUGAGCUCUGCAUACAUGAAUCUGAUUCUAAUCAGCACACCAAAGACUUUGAAAACCAAACUAACAAAUGUGCCACCAUCCAGGGCCCAAAAUGGCCACCAGAUGACCUAUAUAUGGGACAGAUCUGAAUAGCACAACAGAGGCUUAAAAAGCUGAGCUGACGUUAGAACCACAGCUCACAGAAAGUGGGUUGAAACUUGCAGCCUUAACCUAACCGGGUCAACUGUCUGCUGAAAAAACAAACCAAAAAAAUCAACAUUCACUGUAGAAUGUAAAUAAGACCCAGAGUUUCAGAAUAUGAUAUUCAAUAUGUCCAAGAGACAAUCCAGAAUUACUUGGAGGUAGUCAGGCAUGAUGGCUUAUGCCUGUAAUCCCAGCACUUUGGAAGACUUAAGUGGGAGGAUCACUUGAGGUCAGGAGUUCAAGACCAGCCUGGGCACCGUAGCAAGACCUCAUCUCUACAAAUAAUAGUAAUUUAAAAUUUACUUGGUGUACAAGGAACCAGGAAAAUCUUAGCUUGCCUAGGAAAUGAUAACAGACACUAAUACAAACUUAACACAGAUGUUGGAAUUAUCUG